GACGAACGCUGGCGGCGCGCCUAACACAUGCAAGUCGAGCGAGAAGCGGGACUUCGGUCCCGUGGAGAGCGGCGAACGGGUGCGUAACACGUGAGCAACCUGCCCCGAAGACCGGGACAACCGAUGGAAACGUCGGCUAAUACCGGAUGCCCUCACCGGAUCGCAUGGUCUGGUGAGGAAAUGGAUUCCGCUUCGGGAUGGGCUCGCGGUCUAUCAGCUUGUUGGUGGGGUAACGGCCCACCAAGGCGACGACGGAUAGCUGGUCUGAGAGGACGAUCAGCCACACUGGGACUGAGACACGGCCCAGACUCCUACGGGAGGCAGCAGUGGGGAAUCUUGCGCAAUGGGGGAAACCCUGACGCAGCGACGCCGCGUGCGGGAUGAAGGCCUUCGGGUUGUAAACCGCUUUCAGCAGGGACGAAAUUGACGGUACCUGCAGAAGAAGGCCCGGCCAACUACGUGCCAGCAGCCGCCGUAACAC
rnacentral:rRNA from 1 species